AUGGCUCAGGAUGAACGCUAGCGACAGGCUAACACAUGCAAGUCGAGGGGCAGCAUAAAAGUAGCAAUACUUGGUGGCGACCGGCGCACGGGUGAGUAACGCGUAUGCAACCUACCUAUCAGAGGGGAAUAACCCGGCGAAAGUCGGACUAAUACCGCAUAAAACAGGGACACCGCAUGGUGAUAUUUGUUAAAGAAAUUCGCUGAUAGAUGGGCAUGCGUUCCAUUAGGUAGUUGGUGAGGUAACGGCUCACCAAGCCGACGAUGGAUAGGGGAACUGAGAGGUUGGUCCCCCACACUGGUACUGAGACACGGACCAGACUCCUACGGGAGGCAGCAGUGAGGAAUAUUGGUCAAUGGGCGAGAGCCUGAACCAGCCAAGUCGCGUGAAGGAAGAAGGAUCUAUGGUUCGUAAACUUCUUUUGCAGGGGAAUAAAGUGCAGGACGUGUCCUGUUUUGUAUGUACCCUGAGAAUAAGGAUCGGCUAACUCCGUGCCAGCCGCCGC
rnacentral:rRNA from 1 species